rnacentral:rRNA from 1 species
CAGUAGCCGCGGGAAUACGUAGGUGGCAAGCGUUGUCCGGAAUUAUUGGGCGUAAAGCGCGCGCAGGCGGAUAGGUCAGUCUGUCUUAAAAGUUCGGGGCUUAACCCCGUGAUGGGAUGGAAACUGCCAAUCUAGAGUAUCGGAGAGGAAAGUGGAAUUCCUAGUGUAGCGGUGAAAUGCGUAGAUAUUAGGAAGAACACCAGUGGCGAAGGCGACUUUCUGGACGAAAACUGACACUGAGGCGCGAAAGCCAGGGGAGCGAACGGGAUUAGAUACCCCCGUAGUCCCUGUCUCUUAUACC